UACGUAGGGUGCAAGCGUUAAUCGGAAUUACUGGGCGUAAAGCGUGCGCAGGCGGUGAUGUAAGACAGAUGUGAAAUCCCCGGGCUCAACCUGGGAACUGCAUCUGUGACUGCAUCGCUGGAGUGCGGCAGAGGGGGAUGGAAUUCCGCGUGUAGCAGUGAAAUGCGUAGAUAUGCGGAGGAACACCGAUGGCGAAGGCAAUCCCCUGGGCCUGCACUGACGCUCAUGCACGAAAGCGUGGGGAGCAACAGG
rnacentral:rRNA from 1 species